UUUCAGGGAUCAGCCAAACAAUAUCAAAGAAUCGUUGACUGUGUUCAAACAAUUGUAAGGGAGGAAGGAGUUCCUGCUCUCUUAAAGGGUAUUGGGCCAAGAGUGUUGUGGAUAGGUAUUGGAGGUUCAAUCUUCUUUGGUGUCCUCGAGAGCACUAAGAGAACACUUGCACAGAGACGUCCCAAUACGGUUAAAGAAACCAAAGUGGGUUCCCAAUACGUUAUCUAACGAGCACAGCGAACUUUGGUCGUAAUUCAUUUUUAAUUCAGACUUUGUUGCUCAAUUUAGAUGUUGAACUUCAAUCGUCAAAUGUCAGUUGUAUUAUAUUUAGAAA